GACGAACGCUGGCGGCGUGCCUAAUACUUGCCAGUCGAACGCUUCUUUCCUCCCGAGUGCUUGCACUCAAUUGGAAAGAGGAGUGGCGGACGGGUGAGUAACACGUGGGUAACCUACCCAUCAGAGGGGGAUAACACUUGGAAACAGGUGCUAAUACCGCAUAACAGUUUAUGCCGCAUGGCAUAAGAGUGAAAGGCGCUUUCGGGUGUCGUUGAUGGAUGGACCCGCGGUGCAUUAGCUAGUUGGUGAGGUAACGGCUCACCAAGGCCACGAUGCAUAGCCGACCUGAGAGGGUGAUCGGCCACACUGGGACUGAGACACGGCCCAGACUCCUACGGGAGGCAGCAGUAGGGAAUCUUCGGCAAUGGACGAAAGUCUGACCGAGCAACGCCGCGUGAGUGAAGAAGGUUUUCGGAUCGUAAAACUCUGUUGUUAGAGAAGAACAAGGACGUUAGUAACUGAACGUCCCCUGACGGUAUCUAACCAGAAAGCCACGGCUAACUACGUG
rnacentral:rRNA from 1 species